UCACUAAUAUUGACCGGACAAUUAUUAACACUAGAAUCACAUAAGACUAAGUGGCCAAAACAUAUACAAAUGAAGACUCCAUAUUGAUUGGACUAUAACACUAGAAUCAUAAAAGACUAAAUGGCCAAAACAUAUAGACCAAGACUACAUGCCAGGACAUGAGCCAACCCUUCACAAAAUAAACUUCAUUCUUUACUUUUUGAGUCUUUGACAUAUCCUGCAUCAUCUCAGCAAAAGAAAUACCAAAACCAACUCUGAUCAAUUCCAAAUUCCAACCUGCAUAGAGAAAGUAGCACCAUGCAAAUGCCAAAAUAUACCAAUGUAGAUGCCAAUACAUGUCAUAUUUAACCUCAGAUGCACCCAACAACUCUAGUAUGGAAAAUCCAACCCAAGCACACAACAAUCAAUAUUGCUCCAUAAUUUGGUCUGAUAUUGUAUCUAAUUUAAAUGCAUAAAAAUAAUUACAAAGGUAUUCCUUAUUCCAUACACAUACAAAUUCACAACUAUAAAAAAUUAUAAAUGUAUAUUCAUCACCUAUUCCUUGUGAGUUGCAUUUUAAAUGGCAUACAAAGUAUAUAAAUCAUAAAUGUAUAUUCAUGUCUUACCAUCAAAAUAAACAAAAAUGUUAUGAAUAAAUUAGCUAACAUAGGAAGACAAUUAAAAAUGUCUAAACCUUCUGUUCAUCCAACUUUUGUUUGAUUUUCUCUCUAGCCCUUCUCUCUUCCUAUUUCUCUUCUUUUCUCAAAGAUAACAACCUGCAAAAGGAAGUAGAAUUUUAUUUGUAGUUGGCUGCAUUAAUCAAAUUAAAACAUAGGAUGUGAGACAACUAGGUGAGUCAAACCUCUUUGCUUCAAGUUACUCCUUGUCAACUCGAAUUCUCUCAUGAAUAAGAAAACAAAGAUAAAGUGAACUACUUCUCAAAUAUUGACGGGAAAACAUGUAUAUGACAGAUUGAGAUUCAUACGAUGAUAUUAGGAUAUUUAAUUUGCAUAUUUUUAACAAGCUAUGGUAGUCUUAUUCAUGAGAAUCAUGACAUGGCAGAUUUCUCUGCACAAGUGCAUAAAGAUAAGUAAAUGUUAGAUAACAUUUUGACGCCAUAUUUAUGUCCGUUUAAAAUUAUCUACAUGUGAGCCUUCUCUUCUCUUCUUUCUUCUUAUGAGCCUUCUCCCUUAAACUUAUAGCUCAAAAACAUUAAAUGGCUACACGGACUAGUAACAAAAAAUGUAGAAAAUACACUUCCAUCACCUAUCCCUUGUCUCGUCUCAACUCUUCAACAUUCAACACCACACAAAUGUAACCAUAUAUAGAAAACAUACAUAGACAAAAUAAACAUAACUAUGAAAACAAUGUAUCAAGGGAACCCAAGGAACCCUUGUAUGACAAGAUAGAGCCAUUGAUGCUGCCCAAUUGAUUUAGGAUUUAGCAGUAAGACCAUUGUUACCUUGUUUAAUAAAAGAUUGAGGCAGUUCUUUGCUGCAGCUGAAUCUCCUUUUAUCCAGGAGAUGGGUUCAACUUAACCUGGACCAUAGAAGAGUCAAAUACUAAAUAAAUCACUUCAACAUCAGUAUAAAGACAUUAAAUCGCAUAAUUAAAUCACAUAAGUGUAUUUAGUGAGGAUAUGAAAUUUGUCACAAGUUUUAAAGAUAUAUGGUAAGAAUCUAACAUGAAUAGCAUACUAACUUUCACACUGGCAGAUGAAACUGCUGCUUAACACUUGUAGUAUUUGACAAAGAUGUUCAAAAUCUACUUUACACAAAAGCAUCUAACUGCGUUGUUGGAAAAUCACUCUGCCAAUGAAUUACCUUCAAUUCUACAACUAGAUGACCAUCAAGUUCACACUUUAUCUUCUCAAGAAGAUUCAUAUAACUACCUAACAAAAUCUAGUCUUUACUAAUUGGAGAAGAAAACAUGUUUUCUUUUUCCUUAAUUAGCAAUAGAACGAGUCAAAGUUCAAUUGUAAUAAAUCAAUUAUAAAUAAAAAAUAGAAUCUUGUUUUUUUUCACACACUUGAAUAACCGAAAAUCAAAAAGAAAGUAUAAAAUAUAGAACUAUGAAUUUAAGAAUUUGAAAUGCUUAAAGAAGGAUCUUUCCUGAAAAGUAAGUAACAACCCAAUAAGCUCUUGAGUGCCAACAAAUUAUCCU
rnacentral:lncRNA from 1 species